rnacentral:rRNA from 1 species
AACGAACGCUGGCGGCAUGCCUAACACAUGCAAGUCGAACGAGAUCUUCGGGUCUAGUGGCGCGCGGGUGCGUAACGCGUGGGAAUCUGCCCUUUGGUUCGGAAUAACAGUUGGAAACGACUGCUAAUACCGGAUGAUGACGAAAGUCCAAAGAUUUAUCGCCAGAGGAUGAGCCCGCGUAGGAUUAGCUAGUUGGUGUGGUAAAGGCGCACCAAGGCGAUGAUCCUUAGCUGGUCUGAGAGGAUGAUCAGCCACACUGGGACUGAGACACGGCCCAGACUCCGACGGGAGGCAGCAGUGGGGAAUAUUGGACAAUGGGCGAAAGCCUGAUCCAGCAAUGCCGCGUGAGUGAUGAAGGCCUUAGGGUUGUAAAGCUCUUUUACCCGGGAUGAUAAUGACAGUACCGGGAGAAUAAGCUCCGGCUAACUCCGUGCCAGCCGCCGCCGUAA